rnacentral:rRNA from 1 species
CCUACGGGAGGCAGCAGUGAGGAAUAUUGGUCAAUGGACGAACGUCUGAACCAGCCAAGUAGCGUGAAGGAUGACUGCCCUAUGGGUUGUAAACUUCUUUUAUAUGGGAAUAAAACUGUCCACGUGUGGGCGUUUGUAUGUUACAUAUGAAUCAGGCUCGGCUAAACCCGUGCCAGCAGCCGCGGUAAUUCGGAGGAUCCGAGCGUUAUCCGGAUUUAUUGGGUUUAAAGGGAGCGUAGGUGGAUGGUUCAGUCCGUUGUGAAAGUUUGCGGCGCAACCGUAAACUGGCAGUUGAAACUGGCAGUCUUGAGUACAGUAGAGGUGAGCGGAAUUGGGGGUGUAGCGGUGAAAUGCUUAGAUAUCACGAAGAACUCCGAUUGCGAAGGCAGCUCACUGGACUGCAAAUGACACUGAUGCUCGAAAGUGUGGGUAUCAAACAGGAUUAGAUACCCCUAGUAGUC